AACAUAUUACCGAAGCUGUGGAUUGUCCUUUGGACAAUGGUAGGAGAGCGUUCUAAGGGCGUUGAAGCAUGAUCGUAAGGACAUGUGGAGCGCUUAGAAGUGAGAAUGCCGGUGUGAGUAGCGAAAGACGGGUGAGAAUCCCGUCCACCGAUUGACUAAGGUUUCCAGAGGAAGGCUCGUCCGCUCUGGGUUAGUCGGGUCCUAAGCUGAGGCCGACAGGCGUAGGCGAUGGAUAACAGGUUGAUAUUCCUGUACCACCUAUAAUCGUUUUAAUCGAUGGGGGGACGCAGUAGGAUAGGCGAAGCGUGCGAUUGGAUUGCACGUCUAAGCAGUAAGGCUGAGUAUUAGGCAAAUCCGGUACUCGUUAAGGCUGAGCUGUGAUGGGGAGAAGACAUUGUGUCUUCGAGUCGUUGAUUUCACACUGCCGAGAAAAGCCUCUAGAUAGAAAAUAGGUGCCCGUACCGCAAACCGACACAGGUAGUCAAGAUGAGAAUUCUAAGGUGAGCGAGCGAACUCUCG
rnacentral:rRNA from 1 species